GAACUUAUGAGCUAAUAACUUUAAAUUUCUUACAGCCUACUUAUUAAAAAUUAAGUAGAAGACCACGAUCUGCACCGAUACCCAGAGGAAGUUAUUUCAACAACUUACAACAAAAAGUCAAAAAGGGAAUCGCUCUCUUGCUGCGAUUCAUGAGUGAAAAUUCAAGAAAGUACUAUUAAAGUCAACGAUCACUCUCGAGAUACGAGGUGACUACCAUUCUUUAUCGACUUGAAGCUAGCCAGAUGACGAGUUGAUGUAGACCCUUAAAUGAUUAUACUCGGGUUGAACUUAUAAUCAUCUUUAAGGACUCUCCACAUCGACGCUACUCGCGCAGUCGAAGAGCUCCUGAUUUCCUGCUUCA